CCUACGGGGGGCUGCAGUGGGGAAUAUUGGACAAUGGGGGGAACCCUGAUCCAGCCAUGCCGCGUGUGUGAAGAAGGCCCUCGGGUUGUAAAGCACUUUCAGUGAGGAAGAACGCCUGGUGGUUAAUACCCAUCAGGAAAGACAUCACUCACAGAAGAAGCACCGGCUAACUCCGUGCCAGCAGCCGCGGCAAUACGGAGGGUGCGAGCGUUAAUCGGAAUUACUGGGCGUAAAGCGCGCGUAGGUGGCUUGAUAAGCCGGUUGUGAAAGCCCCGGGCUCAACCUGGGAACGGCAUCCGGAACUGUCAAGCUAGAGUGCAGGAGAGGAAGGUAGAAUUCCCGGUGUAGCGGUGAAAUGCGAAGAGAUCGGGAGGAAUACCAGUGGCGAAGGCGGCCUUCUGGACUGACACUGACACUGAGGUGCGAAAGCGUGGGUAGCAAACAGGAUUAGAUACCCCAGUAGUC
rnacentral:rRNA from 1 species